UACAACGAAGAGUUUGAUCCUGGNNUCAGGAUGAACGCUAGCGGGAGGCCUAACACAUGCAAGUCGAGCGGGAUUGGCAGCAAUGCCAUGAGAGCGGCGCACGGGUGAGUAACGCGUAUGCAACCUACCUUAAACAGGGGGAUAGCCCAUGGAAACGUGGAUUAAUACCCCAUAUUAUUAUUGGUCCGCAUGGAUUGAUAAUCAAAGCUCCGGCGGUUUAAGAUGGGCAUGCGUGACAUUAGUUAGUUGGUGAGGUAACGGCUCACCAAGACUACGAUGUCUAGGGGUUCUGAGAGGAUGAUCCCCCACACUGGUACUGAGACACGGACCAGACUCCUACGGGAGGCAGCAGUGAGGAAU
rnacentral:rRNA from 1 species